CGCAAAUUGCGCUCUUUGGUAUUCCGAAGAGCAUGCCUGUUUGAGUGUCAUAAUAACCCUCACCUCUCUGGUUUUAUGAACUGGUCAUGGUGGUUUGGACGUUUUUGCCAGCUUCACGGUUGGCUCGUCUUAAAUGCAUUAGUGGACGACGGCGUGAUAAGUCUUCGCUUGAAAGUUCCACUUUAAACAACUAUUGCUUUGACCUCAAAUCAGGUAGGACUACCCGCUGAACUUAA
rnacentral:misc_RNA from 1 species